rnacentral:rRNA from 1 species
CGUCUUCGGGGUCCGCCUUGUAUUCUCAAGAAGUGUUUUCCGCUUCGGACCAAGCCUAAGUCCCCUGGAAAGGGGCAUCAUAGAGGGUGAUAAUCCCGUACAUGGCUUGGAGCGCCCGAGGCUUUGUGAUACGCUUUCUAAGAGUCGAGUUGUUUGGGAAUGCAGCUCAAAAUGGGUGGUAAAUGCCAUCUAAGGCUAAAUAUUGGGGAGAGACCGAUAGCGAACAAGUACAGUGAUGGAAAGAUGAAAAGAACUUUGAAAAGAGAGUUAAACAGUACGUGAAAUUGCCAAAAGGGAAGGGUAGGAGGUCAGAGAUGCGGCCUGGGAUUCAGCCUUGCUUUUGCUUGGUGUUUUUCCCAGAUUGCAGGCCAACGUCGGUUUUGGGCACUGGAGAAGGGUAGGAGGAACGUGGCACCCCUCGGGGUGUGUUAUAGCCUCCUACUGGAUACAGCGACCGAGACCGAGGACAGCAGCGUACUCGCAAGAGCGGGCCUUCGGGCACCUUUACGCUUAGGGCGUUGGCAUAAUGGCCCUCUACCAC